CAGAUUUUGUUAUUUUUUAUAAAUAUUACAUUUUAUUCAACUGAUAUUUAUUCACAAACAAUUUUAAUAUUUUAUUUUUUACACUGGAAUGGAAGCCAUAAGAAUUUAGGGCGAGAACUGUUGGUAGAUGUGAAAGCGUACCAACAUAACAUGUCAUGUCAUCAUCAACAAUAAUUCUAAUUCGUCCUUAUCUCUCUAAUUUUUCUAUUUAUCUUAAUCUCCCCAAACCAAACCCUCACUGUUUACCCCGACUCUCUACAUUACUAAUUAAUUAAUUAAUUAAUUUGAUCCCCAACAAAAUUUUGAGUUCCAUUCGAGGUAGUGUACCAAGAUUCCAAGAACUCAAGAUUUGGCAGUUCUUUGGUUUAGAUAAUGAUUGAAAAUUGGGCAUAUAUUGCCCAUAAUAAAACGAGACAAGAAAUAAUUUCCCCUUAAAUCUUCCAUUUUUUCUACUCAUAUUAUUAUGUGUGUGCAACCCUUUUUCGGAGAUCUCUUCCAAGCUUUGACAUCAUUUGUUGACAAUGAGAGAGAGCACGCUUGUUUUCCUUUAUUCAAGGACAUGGUUGUGUACUAGCGUGCUCUCUGUCGUUGUCAUAAGAUGAGUUCAAAGCAAGCUUCUUUCGCUUUUUACAUGAUCAUUCCAUGUUAAGCAGGUGAGUUAAUCACUAAUCCUAUUAUUAAAUUUUGACUCGAUGAUUAUGCUAGUUCCUAUGGAAGAUUUCCAUGUAUACAUUAAAGUUCGGCAAUGAACAUGCGAUAAAAUUUCGGAUACACCUUCUAACGAACUACAUAAAUGAUUUUUUUUAAUUUAAUAUUCUGUUGUUUUAAGACAUUCAAAUGCCAUUUCUAAUUGGAUUUAUGUUUGUCCAUUUGUUAUGUAUGCUAUUCUUUGAUCUACCAUGAUGUUUAGGCUUCCUGCAUUCUUUUCAAGAUUAAGAACCUGUUCGAAACAAUCUUGGUAUGUGAGAAUAGAAGGCUAAAUUCCGCAUUAGAGGUAAAUUUAAUGGCUUUUGAAUUUACAUCUGUCCGUUUUUCUGGAGACUAGACUGUUUAUUGAUUCAUCGGCUAUGUUGUUUUGCCUUUACAUCUCAGCCGGUUUACAAAAUCUCCUUUUCCUCUUUUUAUUAUAUUUAUUUAUUCUCUAUGUUAUUGUUGCCUUAUGAUUGAUUUGCGUGGUAAUUGUCUAAAUAAUUUUUUUUUCUUAUUAAGCAUUCUGUUCAGGUAUGUGAUCAGCUUUAUUUUCAGCUGUAUUUGAUGAUAUAAUCAGUAGAUUGAAAAUUGUAGCAUUAUUACCAUCAUUGCCGCUGCUUGAAUUAGUCCUGAACAUUUUCAAUUACUGUAUGUAGACACCAACAUCAGUAUCUUGAUUCAUGACGUAUUUUCAGUUGAAGAACUUCACAUUUAUUAGUUUACUUUGUUAGAUCAUAAAAUAACCCGGCUUCUAAAUUCUUAAGUUCAUUAGAUGCCUACUUACUUUUAGAUGUAAUCAUGUAACUAAGGAGCUAUUUUUUACUUUGUGAAAAUGCAUCAUUGCAUGCUUUUGCACCGUCAAUUUUUAUUUAAGGAUUUUUUUUAAGGGUAUUAGAGCUGAAAGGCAUGCACUAUUCCGUCGUUUCUUAUUUAACAUUCAUAUGAGAAAUAUGAUAUUCAUAGACUUCAAAUUGAAUUUUCUUUGCAUUUUUAAAGAUGAACUACUAGUAGUAAAUUAAGGAGCGGAAACUGAAACAAGAACAAGAACCUAGAAUCAGCUAUUUUCAUGCACCAAUUUUCUAAUGUUCUUGUUUAGAGAUUCAAACAUAUUUCCGAUUGGUUAAUUCUCGUGUUGGAAACUACAUUUCUACUAAUGUUGCAGUUGUGCUAUUAAUAUUUGGCUUUUUAUUAAUAUCGUUAUCAAGUUAAACACUGUUUCUUCUUUGUUGUUAGUCAGUUUGUUUUUUUAGUUUAGAAGUUUUACUGGUUAGGAGUUGGUCAUAUCAAAAUGAUUUUAUAGUAAAGAUACUGACUGGUUUACCUUGCUUGAAUGAUUAGCACCAUCCUACCAGGUGAGGUUGUUUACUUGGAAUAAAUGUUUUUAAUAUUAUAAUUUCAUGUUUUUAAUUUGACAUUUUGCUGUGUUAUAUAAUGAUUUAUUUUUCUAUCUUUAUCUUUGGUCUGCAUCUGUUUUUUGCUAGAAAUCUAGGAAAAUUGACUAUUGAGUUCAAAUGCUUCUCAAUGCAUCCGAAGAACGGAAGAGAAUGUAAUCAAGUUUUGAUUCUACGAUACAUCUAGCUUCUCCCAGUUCUCUUACUUUCAGCCAUCAUUAUCGGUUUCAUUAGCUAUAGCUCUUCAUUCAUAUCUUCAAUAUUUAUUUAUCGGUGUCAUUAUUUCUUUGAUGAAUAGUAGUCUUAUUGGUUAUGUGCAAUUAUGAGAGCAAGUUUUUGGAACCGUAAUUAAUGGAUGUUUUAGUCCUGUACGUGACGAACUAGGUUCCAUCUUAAAAUUUCUCGUAUUUAGGUUUUACCAUUUUUAAAAUGGGGAAAUGCUCUUUUGGAGAUUACUGGUGAAACAGAAGUGUAAAUUUUGCUGUGUAUAUAUCUCAUCAGGUUUAUAAUUUAUAAUUUUUAUAUCUAUCU